CAUCGCCUCCUGCAACUAUAUUGAGUAUAGGAGGUCCAGCCUGCCCAGUGACUACGGGUUCAACGGCCGCGGUAUUUUGACCGUGCAAAGGUAGCGCAAUCACUUGUCUCUUGAAUAGAGACCUGUAUGAAUGGCUAGACGAGGGCUUAACUGUCUCCCCCUUCCAGUCAGUGAAAUUGAUCUAUCCGUGCAGAAGCGGGUAUAAUUAUACAAGACGAGAAGACCCUUUGGAGCUUAAGGUACAAAAUUCAACCACGUUAAACGACUCUACAUGAAGCAAGAACUUAGUGGCGAAUGAAAUUUUACCUUCGGUUGGGGCGACCACGGAGGAGAAAGAAGCCUCCGAGUGGACUGGGCUAAUCCCCAAAGCCAAGAGAUACAUCUAUAAGCCGCAGAACAUCUGACCAAGAAUGAUCCGACUGAUAAAGCCGAUCAACGAACCAAGUUACCCUAGGGAUAACAGCGCAAUCCUCUCCCAGAGUCCAUAUCGACGAGGGGGUUUACGACCUCGAUGUUGGAUCAGGACAUCCUAAUGGUGCAGCCGCUAUUAAGGGUUCGUUUGUUCAACGAUUAAAGUCCUACGUGAUCUGAGUUC
rnacentral:rRNA from 1 species